rnacentral:rRNA from 1 species
UGCUUCCUACGGGAGGCAGCGGUAGGGAAUCUUCCACAAUGGGCGAAAGCCUGAUGGAGCAACGCCGCGUGGGUGAAGGAGGUCUUCGGAUCGUAAAACCCUGUUGUUAGAGAAGAAAGAGCGUGAGAGUAACUGUUCACGUUUCGACGGUAUCUAACCAGAAAGCCACGGCUAACUACGUGCCAGCAGCCGAGGUAAUACGUAGGUGGCAAGCGUUAUCCGGAUUUAUUGGGCGUA